GUGUCUUCCAAAGUGACUGUACCAUUUUGCAUUCCCACCGGCAGUGAAUGAGAGUUCCUGUUGCUUCACAUCUUCGUGAGAAUUUGGUGUUAUCAGUGUUUUGGAUUUUGACCAAAUGGGUCUGCUUGGACCCCACGGGGAGCCAGUCUUGACUUUGAGCAAGCUCUGCUUACCUUCCACACCAGAGUUGCAUACUUGGAGAGCAAUCGGGAUUCAUGAAUUUCUCCACAUAUUCAGAACGCCCUAAGAGCUCCACAAAAUCUUCAUCAUGAGUGAUCACCAGAAGCUGGAAGUUACGCUGCUGUGGUUCCCUAGGCUCUUGAGAUACCUGCCUUUUGUCCGGCACUGCAUCGUCCUCGCAUAUCCAAGGGCGUGUCUCCCUUUAGCAUCACCACUCGGUAGUUGUAAUUCCGCCUUUUAUCAGAAGCUGAUACAUUUUCAUCGGCAUCAGAUCGAAUUUCUAUGUAUUCAAUAUCUGACACAGAAAGAAGAAGAUUUUAGGGGAACCUACACUC